rnacentral:lncRNA from 1 species
CACAGUGAGUCUUGCUAUGUUACAUCAUUCUUCUGUACAGUUACCUUAAAAGGUUACAUCAACCACCAUGACCACUUUGGCUUUUUAAAGUGGUCAUGGUGGUAGGAGUCUGGAUGUGCAGUGUUUCAUCCAGAUUAAUUUGCACUUGUGUGCUAGAGUCAAGUUGCACCCCAGGCACACAUAAUUUAGGCAGCCCAGAACUCUGUUCUAAACUGCUUAAUGUUAAUUCUGUGCACACAUUUUUUUUUUCUAUCAAAGCACACUGUAUGCUGGUGACAGACACAACUUGCCCCCACUCAUCCUCCUUUCCUUCCCUCCCUUUGCUGGCUUAGUGUGUGCGUAUGUGCUCAGCAUUGGUAAAAUGCUCUUGUCAAAGGCUUCUCUCCUGGACUUCAGAAGUAAACUUAGUUUAAAAACACUCUUUUAGCAUUUUUGUAGUUGGGGGGGAGGGUAGAGACCAAUAGAAUAAUGCCAUAGUGCAUUAUUCUAUCAUAGAAAGGGUUUUACUUGUUUGUAACAAAAGGAUUCAUCCUCAUUACAAUUUUCCCAGUGUUUACAUCUCCAAUGCAUAAGGGAAGGUAGUGCUCCUACACAAAACAUUUUAUACUGUAUUUAUAUAUUUUUGUUGACGUUGCCUUCGACUCUGACUAUCCUAGUACUGACCAUGAGUUGAGAACCACUGUUGUAGCACAAUAUGUAGACAGGAUAUAUCUAUCAUUUUAUACAAUAGCGGGUGUACCAUGUAAAGUAUAUAAGAUGUGCAGCCAGCACAAUUUUUUUCCUAUGUUUUUUUUACAAAUGUUACCAAACCUCUCCAGGGAUUUUGCUAUUUCUUCACAACAUGGUUUCCAUGGUUCUCCCAAUUUUUUUAUUUUUACAGAGCCAUUCAUGUUUAUAUCCUGUUACCCCUUUACCCUUGAUAGACACAAAUCUGGAUAAGGGGACACUCUAAGCACCAUAAACCCUUACUACAGGAUUAUUUACUAAAGUGAAAAUUCAUAUAUUGGUCAACGUAACAGAGCUUGAAGCAUAGCUGACUUAGAUAAGUUUUUCAAUUAAUCUAUUUUGGCCUUAAAUUCACUUUAAAGUCUGACUUUAGUAAAUAACCCAGUUAAUCUCAUUGACGUAGUUAUGGUGUCUAGAGUCCCCUGACACCAUUGCUCUGUUCCAUGAAACACUUUUCUCAAAUGGUUUGACAGUGGGAGGCAGUGAUAGGCCAAGCAGUGUGCAUCUGGGUACCCUCAUUCAAUGUCAGGCUGCUCUUAAAGGACCACUAUAGUGCCAGGAAAACAUACUCGUUUUCCUGGCGCUAUAGUGCCCUGAGGGUGCUCCCACGAGAGCAAGAGCUGUGCGCUCAUUCAGCCAGUCCAUAGGAAAGCAUUCACAAUGCUUUCCUAUGGACGCUGGCAUCUUCUCACUGUGAAAAUCACAGUGAGAAGCACGGAAGCCCUCUAGCGGCUGUCAAUGAGACAGCCACUAGAGGCUGGAUUAACCCUAUUAUAAACAUAGCAGUUUCUCUGAAACUGCUAUGUUUAUAAAAAAAAAAAGGUUAAACCUAGCUGGACCUGGCACCCAGACCACUUCAUUAAGCUGAAGUGGUCUGGGUGCCUAUAGAGGUCCUUUAAACAUACUGGACCAGGGAACUGGAACUCCAGGCACCAUAACUACUUCAAUGACAUUACGUGGUUUUGGUACCUAGAAUGUCUCUAACAUGUUGCGGAGAUGUGUUAAAUGAAAAAUGUUGUUCUGAUUUUGCUUUCAUGCCAAACAGUUGGCACUCUUGACAACACUUGCAAAAGAUUUUAUAUUUUUUAUUUCUUUUGUUCUCUUCCUUUGUAAGGACAAUAUUUAAUUGUGUGUUAACAUUUGUUUUAGAAAUUCUGUCUGUCUUCUCCAUUCUGUCUGUACAAAAGAAUCUACCUGUAUAUAGUGUCAGGUACUGUACUAGCCCACUAGAUUCAUUUCAGAUUUCUUUAAAUUAAAUACCUGUACAAUAUGCAAGAUUAAACACAUUUUGAAGUAAAACCUUUUGAGAACUCUAUUUAUUAUUAUUAUUUUUUUUUAAUCUUUUUUUAAUUGUCAGCUAAAGUCAAACACAUGUGCUUUUUGAUCGCUUCAAAUCCAGCCUGUGAGUCUGAAAAAGCACCCAGAAAUGUACUUUAGUGCAUUUAGGCAACAUCUCAAUAUUCCUCAUAGCAUUGUGAGCAAUGGCAAAAACUCUACACUUCAGUUGUGGCCUAAGGUUCCAAAGGCAUGCUGAGCAUGUUGCUAUCACUGGAGGGACCUGUCCUUUAACCCCUUAAGGACACAUGACAUGUGUGACAUGUCAUGAUUCCCCUUUAUUCCAGAAGAUUGGGAUUAACCUCUUAAGGACCAAUCUCCUAUAUACAUUUACUUUUGUUACAAUUCAAAUAUUUUAAUUUAGACCGUUCUUUUACCUUUUCAUCUACUGUUCAC